rnacentral:rRNA from 1 species
UCGAGGGGCAGCGGGGGAGUAGCAAUACUCCCGCCGGCGACCGGCGCACGUGUGAGUAACACGUAUGAAACCUGCCCGUAGCAGGGGGAUAAGCGGAAGAAAUUCCGUCUAAUACCGCGUAACAACCCAUGGAGGCAUCUCCGUGGGUUUAAAGGAAGCGAUUCCGGCUACGGAUGGUCAUGCGUCGCAUUAGCUUGUUGGCGGUGUAACGGACCACCAAGACGACGAUGCGUAGGGGUUCUGAGAGGAAGGUCCCCCACACUGGUACUGAGACACGGACCAGACUCCUACGGGAGGCAGCAGUGAGGAAUAUUGGUCAAUGGCCGAGAGGCUGAACCAGCCAAGUCGCGUGAGGGAAGAAUGUCCUAUGGAUUGUAAACCUCUUUUGUCAGGGAGCAAAGUCACCCACGUGUGGGUGUUGGAGAGUACCUGAAGAAAAAGCAUCGGCUAACUCCGUGCCAGCAGCCGCGGUAAUACGGAGGAUGCGAGCGUUAUCCGGAUUUAUUGGGUUUAAAGGGUGCGUAGGCGGGUUAUCAAGUCAGCGGUAAAAUCGUGGAGCUCAACUCCAUCCAGCCGUUGAAACUGAUGAUCUUGAGUGGGCGAGAAGUAUGCGGAAUGCGUGGUGUAGCGGUGAAAUGCAUAGAUAUCACGCAGAACUCCGAUUGCGAAGGCAGCAUACCGGCGCCCGACUGACGCUGAAGCACGAAAGCGUGGGUAUCGAACAGGAUUAGAUACCCUGGUAGUCCACGCAGUAAACGAUGAAUACUAAUUGUGUGCUCCGAAUGAGGAGUGCGUGAUACAGCGAAAGCGUUAAGUAUUC